CCUACGGGUGGCAGCAGUGGGGGAUAUUGCACAAUGGGGGGAACCCUGAUGCAGCGACGCCGCGUGGGUGAAGGAGUAUUUCGGUAUGUAAAGCCCUAUCGGCAGGGAAGAAUUUAGACGGUACCUGACUAAGAAGCCCCGGCUAACUACGUGCCUGCAGCCGCGGUAAUACGGAGGAUGCGAGCGUUAUCCGGAUUUAUUGGGUUUAAAGGGUGCGUAGGCGGUCCGGAAAGUCAGCGGUAAAAGCCCGGGGCUCAACCCCGGCGAGCCGUUGAAACUGUCGGACUAGAGACGGCGAGAAGUACGCGGAAUGCGCGGUGUAGCGGUGAAAUGCAUAGAUAUCGCGCAGAACUCCGAUUGCGAAGGCAGCGUACCGGCGCCGGACUGACGCUGAGGCACGAAAGCGUGGGUAUCGAACAGGAUUAGAUACCCGAGUAGUC
rnacentral:rRNA from 1 species